UAUCUGGUUGAUCCUGCCAGUAGUCAUAUGCUUGUCUCAAAGAUUAAGCCAUGCAUGUCUAAGUAUAAGCACUUGUACUGUGAAACUGCGAAUGGCUCAUUAAAUCAGUUAUCGUUUAUUUGAUUGUACCUUUACUACUUGGAUAACCGUGGUAAUUCUAGAGCUAAUACAUGCGAAAAGUCCCGACUUCUGGAAGGGAUGUAUUUAUUAGAUUCAAAACCAAUGCGGUUCUGCCCGGUCAUUU
rnacentral:ncRNA from 1 species